AUGUCCUUGGGGGAAUCCCCGCGGCCAUAUUUGUUUUCAGUCCAAUUGAUUAGCCAAACAAGGGAAGUUUGCAACGUAAGCCCCUCAGCCCUUGUUUUAAAUGUGGAGUUUGCGAGUGUACAAUUAUGUUCACUUCGGAGCCUGAAAUGCCCCCAACUUUUCAAUUCGCGAUGAUUGUAUAUCCGCUAAUAAAAGUCCACUAAAACUUAAAACCUCAACAUGGAGUCAACAUAAAAGUGGCACUCCAGGAACUCAGGAUCAUGUUCUCCAUCACAAUUGCCACACCAUCGUCCUUCUACACACCAUUCUUCAGUAUGCUCGAUGAACGUGGUACCUUCAGGCGUUUGGAAAUUGCUCCCAAGGAUGAACCAGACUUGUGGAGGUCUACACUUUUUUCCUGAGGUCUUGGCUGAUUUCUUUGGAUUUUCCCAUGAUGUCAAGCAAAGAGGCACUGAGUUUGAAGAUAGCUUGUAACUGGAGAUCCCUUCAAAAACGAUUGCCUACAAUUACCGUGUAGGGAGCACUGCAAGGUUGGGUGACCAGGGCCAUCUAGCACUGCCUCCUGGGGGAAUUCAGGCAUGUGAAGGCUACUUGUGUCCUGAUUAACUUCAUGAGGAUGGACACGAGGACCAGGAGGGGAUCUGCACCUCUCCUUCGUGUGCCAGACGAGAAGUCUGCUGCUCUUGCAAGAUGUUUCAAGGAUGGGGUCUGUUUUUUUGGAACAAUUAGACACCCUAUAUAUAACCCAGACUCGUGUAUCAAUUUGAUUGAUGGAUUGUGUUGUGCCAUGAGCAGGCUCAGGUUUAUAACUGUGGCUCCCUCCAUCUACAAAAAAUAAGCAAGAGGGUCAACCAUAGAGAAGAGUAAGACACUUCAUUAUUUCUAUAACUACGCUAUAUUGUUUGUCCUCGUGUGUCCGUUCAGAUCCCUGUUGAACAGUCUCUUUAACUACCUUAUUUUCUCACACAGUCUCUCUCCUUCACUUCAUCCCUCUCUCCCCUUCUCCCUAAAUCCUCUAGGUUAUAUCAGCUGUGUCGGUGAACCCCUCCCGCAUCUGAAAUGACUACAUAGAGGGCACAGCAUGAUCAUAGGUAUGUUUUGUUGUGAGAGAGGAUGCCAAACCCCAGUCCUGUCAUCGCCACCUCAUCCACUCUUAAGAUAACCUUCAGGCCGACUGGGAGCCCAAGGCUGGCUAGGAGACACCAUUAUGUAAUUGUGAUGAACAGAGUAUUCAUCAAUCAUAUGCUGUAUUCCCUGCUCCUCUGUUCUUACCUCUUUCCCUUUUUAUAUGUCUCUCGUCGUCUUUAUUCCUGUUUUUAUAAGGCACACCAGAUGUGCAUUGAAGUACAGAUUGAACUUGUACAGUGGGGCAAAAAAGUAUUUAGUCAGCCACCAAUUGUGCAAGUUCUCCCACUUAAAAAGAUGAGAGGCCUGUAAUUUUCAUCAUAGGUACACUUCAACUAUGACAGACAAAAUUAGGAGAAAAAAAUCCAGAAAAUCACAUUGCAAAUAAAUUCAUUAAAAUCCUACAAAUGACACUCCAGGAACUCAGGAUCAUGUUCUCCAUCACAAUUGCCACACCAUCGUCCUUCUACACACCAUUCUUCAGUAUGCUCGGUUUGUUGGCACACACUUGAAACAUGGCUAAAUCCUUUACAAUUCUAACAUUGCAGUGGUUUGGGGACGAAAGCUUUUACGGCGUACAGUGGGGCAAAAAAGUAUUUAGUCAGCCACCAAUUGUGCAAGUUCUCCCAAUUAAAAAGAUGAGAGGCCUGUAAUUUUCAUCAUAGGU